GCGUCGGAUUCCAAAAUGCCUGACAUGCAAGCUGGUUGGGAGCAAAUGUGUUCUAACGUGAUGGCCGGUCUGUCAGGAUUGAACAUGGUGUAUGAAGCGG
rfam:Rhodobacteraceae bacterium HTCC2083 scf_1106200183017 genomic scaffold, whole genome shotgun sequence.